ACGCACGCUGGCGGCGUGCUUAACACAUGCAAGUCGAACGGAAAGGCCCUGCUUUUGUGGGGUGCUCGAGUGGCGAACGGGUGAGUGACACGUGAGUAACCUGCCCUUGACUUUGGGAUAACUUCAGGAAACUGGGGCUAAUACCGGAUAGGAGCUCCUGCUGCAUGGUGGGGGUUGGAAAGUUUCGGCGGUUGGGGAUGGACUCGCGGCUUAUCAGCUUGUUGGUGGGGUAGUGGCUUACCAAGGCUUUGACGGGUAGCCGGCCUGAGAGGGUGACCGGCCACAUUGGGACUGAGAUACGGCCCAGACUCCUACGGGAGGCAGCAGUGGGGAAUAUUGCACAAUGGGCGGAAGCCUGAUGCAGCAACGCCGCGUGCGGGAUGACGGCCUUCGGGUUGUAAACCGCUUUCGCCUGUGACGAAGCGUGAGUGACGGUAAUGGGUAAAGAAGCACCGGCUAACUACGUG
rnacentral:rRNA from 1 species